GUGUGCCUUAUAUGGUUACAGUCAAUUAUGAUUGCAUUUCAUAUCUUGGCUUGAAGACAACGCAUCCACAGACAUCGAAUGUUAGCCAUUCUACCAUAUCAGUUACCUUUGGCAGCGAUUACAGCUGUGAAUUUUUCUGGCUCCGGCUCGGGAGAGACGAAGGUUGAAAGCCAUGCGUCCUCCGAAACACAACCCAACCACAGUGUAGGAGGAAACACUGUGCACCUGGCGAGCUGGUUAGCGUGCACUGCGAGCAGACUGCCACAGGAGUCGCUAGAGCGCGAUGAGACAAUUGUGUUCAUUGUCCGUAGCUUAUGCCUGCGCAUACCAUAACCCCAACGCCACCAAGGGGCACUCUAUUCACAACAUUGACAUCAGCAAACUGCUUGC